UACGGAGGGUGCAAGCGUUAAUCGGAAUUACUGGGCGUAAAGCGCGCGUAGGUUGUUUGUUAAGCGAGAUGUGAAAGCCCCGGGCUUAACCUGGGAAUUGCAUUUCGAACUGGCAAGCUAGAGUACGGUAGAGGGUAGUGGAAUUUCCGGUGUAGCGGUGAAAUGCGUAGAGAUCGGAAGGAACAUCAGUGGCGAAGGCGACUACCUGGACUGAUACUGACACUGAGGUG
rnacentral:rRNA from 1 species